rnacentral:rRNA from 1 species
ACUCCUACGGGAGGCAGCAGUAGGGAAUCUUAGACAAUGGGCGCAAGCCUGAUCUAGCGAUGCCGCGUGUGUGACGAAGGCCUUAGGGUCGUAAAGCACUUUCGCCAGGGAUGAUAAUGACAGUACCUGGUAAAGAAGUCCCGGCUAACUCCGUGCCAGCAGCCGCGGUAAUACGGAGGGGACUAGCGUUGUUCGGAAUUACUGGGCGUAAAGCGCGCGUAGGCGGAUUAGUUAGUCAGAGGUGAAAUCCCAGGGCUCAACCCUGGAACUGCCUUUGAUACUGCUAGUCUUGAGUUCGAGAGAGGUGAGUGGAAUUCCGAGUGUAGAGGUGAAAUUCGUAGAUAUUCGGAGGAACACCAGUGGCGAAGGCGGCUCACUGGCUCGAUACUGACGCUGAGGUGCGAAAGUGUGGGAGCAAACAGGAUUAGAUACCCUGGUAGGAUAGCG